AUCAGGCAGUAGGAGCAGAGGAAGAAGUUGGAGAUGAUGGGAGCGAUGGUGUUCAACUCAGCUGGAGGAGAGGAAAGACAGAAGAGGGAGAAACUGCUUGUUUGUUUGCAAGGUGACCCACUGUUAAUCAAUGAAAGUCAAAUGAAGCUCUUUGAACUAACGGCAGCAUGAGGCAACUUUAGCUGUUGUGACCUCGAGUGGCAA